CUUGGUUGUAACCUCCUUGAAACGGUGGAGGAGGAGCUUGUCCUGGAGGACCAUAGCUCUGCUGAGGACCACCAUAUCCACCUCCACCACCACCUUGCAUUGGCGGUUGCUGACCAUACUGAGGGUUUCUCUGGAAGUUUUGAGGACCGCCUUGACGGUCAGGUCUUUGAUUGAACUUAUCACGGGGUUGUCUUCUGUUAGGCUGAAAUGGUGGUGGCCUGUGUGUGAUCACUCCGUUCUCAUACUUAUCUCCUGAAAUAAAUAAAAAACGAGAAAACAGAAUAGUUAUUUACACAGUUCCAAGGAUCAGUUUCUAUGUAUGAUGAAUCAAAAACCAAAACUCACCUCCAUUGGAGGGCCUUGGUUGUAACCUCCUUGAAACGGUGGAGGAGGAGCUUGUCCUGGAGGACCAUAGCUCUGCUGAGGACCACCAUAUCCACCUCCACCACCACCUUGCAUUGGCGGUUGCUGACCAUACUGAGGGUUUCUCUGGAAGUUUUGAGGACCGCCUUGACGGUCAGGUCUUUGAUUGAACUUAUCACGGGGUUGUCUUCUGUUAGGCUGAAAUGGUGGUGGCCUGUGUGUGAUCACUCCGUUCUCAUACUUAUCUCCUG
rnacentral:lncRNA from 1 species